AUUUAUUGCAACGAGAGGUAAUCAGCAGCAAAUAAUCAAAGAGUAAGGCCUCGAGAACAUCACGGGAACACGGAAACACUUGACUGGGAUACUGAUGGAGCCACAGGCCCGGCAGCAUUCAGGUGUGGCCAGGAGGCUGGAUGUGUGGCCCAGUGCCUUCAGCAGCACCAACACGCCGGUUUCCAGCGGGGCUGCGUCCGGCACCGGGCCCCUCACUCUGCGCUGGCUGCAGGAGCCGCCGCCCUCCUGCUGGGGUGCCCUCACCCCUGUGACGUGUGAUGGUUCCACAGGGGGUGGCACAGAGCGGCCAUUGUGACCCAUGGGGUGUGGAGCAGAGCUCAGGCUGCGGGGCUCAGGCCAAGCUCAGUGCGACUUGGUGAGGUGAGCAGGGAGGAAGGGGCUGCCUGAGGCUGCCGAGGGAGGAGGGUUCCCCAGCGCUCGGGGGCCUGAGCUGCGAACUCAGCCUCGUCCCGCUUCUCCCAUAGGUUGGCACGCGGAGGAGAA
rnacentral:lncRNA from 1 species